rnacentral:tRNA from 2 species
GCUGAUGUGGCGCAAUGGCAGCGCAAUUGAUUUGUAAUCAAUAGGCUGUGAGUUCGAGUCUCACCAUCAGCUCCA